ACGUAGGUGGCGAGCGUUGUUCGGAUUUAUUGGGCGUAAAGGGUCCGCAGGGGGUUGAUUAAGUCUGACGUGAAAUCUCUGAGCUCAACUCAGAAAAUGCGUUGGAGACUGGUUGACUAGAGUGUUGGAGAGGUAAUUGGAAUUCCAGGUGUAGCGGUGGAAUGCGUAGAUAUCUGGAAGAACAUCGAAAGCGAAGGCAGAUUACUGGACAACAACUGACCCUCAGGGACGAAAGCAUGGGGAGCAAACAG
rnacentral:rRNA from 1 species